rnacentral:rRNA from 1 species
AUUGAACGCUGGCGGCAGGCCUAACACAUGCAAGUCGAGCGGCAGCGGGUCCUUCGGGAUGCCGGCGAGCGGCGGACGGGUGAGUAAUGCCUAGGAAUCUGCCUGGUAGUGGGGGAUAACGUUCGGAAACGGACGCUAAUACCGCAUACGUCCUACGGGAGAAAGUGGGGGAUCUUCGGACCUCACGCUAUCAGAUGAGCCUAGGUCGGAUUAGCUAGUUGGGGGGGUAAAGGCUCACCAAGGCGACGAUCCGUAACUGGUCUGAGAGGAUGAUCAGUCACACUGGAACUGAGACACGGUCCAGAGUCCUACGGGAGGCAGCAGUGGGGAAUAUUGGACAAUGGGCGAAAGCCUGAUCCAGCCAUGCCGCGUGUGUGAAGAAGGUCUUCGGAUUGUAAAGCACUUUAAGUUGGGAGGAAGGGCAGUAAGUUAAUACCUUGCUGUUUUGACGUUACCAACAGAAUAAGCACCGGCUAACUUCGUGCCAGCCGCCGCGGUAA